UACGAAGGGUGCAAGCGUUACUCGGAAUUACUGGGCGUAAAGCGUGCGUAGGUGGUGGUUUAAGUCUGUUGUGAAAGCCCUGGGCUCAACCUGGGAAUUGCAGUGGAUACUGGAUCACUAGAGUGUGGUAGAGGGUGGCGGAAUUCCCGGUGUAGCAGUGAAAUGCGUAGAGAUCGGGAGGAACAUCCGUGGCGAAGGCGGCCACCUGGGCCAACACUGACACUGAGGCACGAAAGCGUGGGGAGCAAACAGG
rnacentral:rRNA from 2 species